GACGAACGCUGGCGGCGUGCCUAAUACAUGCAAGUCGAGCGAACCACUUCGGUGGUUAGCGGCGGACGGGUGAGUAACACGUGGGCAACCUGCCUGUAAGACUGGGAUAACACCGGGAAACCGGUGCUAAUACCGGAUAAUCCUUUUCCUCUCAUGAGGAAAAGCUUAAAGUCGGUUUCGGCUGACACUUACAGAUGGGCCCGCGGCGCAUUAGCUAGUUGGUGAGGUAACGGCUCACCAAGGCGACGAUGCGUAGCCGACCUGAGAGGGCGACCGGCCACACUGGAACUGAGACACGGUCCAGACUCCUACGGGAGGCAGCAGUGGGGAAUAUUGCGCAAUGGGCGGAAGCCUGACGCAGCGACGCCGCGUGAGGGAUGACGGCCUUCGGGUUGUAAACCUCUUUCGACAGGGACGAAAUUGACGGUACCUGUAGAAGAAGCACCGGCUAACUACGUGCCAGCAGCCGCGGUAAUACGUAGGGUGCGAGCGUUGUCCGGAAUUAUUGGGCGUAAAGAGCUCGUAGGCGGUCCGUCGCGUCGAAUGUGAAAACCCGGGGCUCAACUCCGGGCUUGCAUUCGAUACGGGCGGACUAGAGUUCGGUAGGGGAGACUGGAAUUCCUGGUGUAGCGGUGAAAUGCGCAGAUAUCANGAGGAACACCGGUGGCGAAGGCGGGUCUCUGGGCCGAUACUGACGCUGAGGAGCGAAAGCGUGGGGAGCAAACAGGAUUAGAUACCCUGGUAGUCCACGCCGUAAACGGUGGGCGCUAGGUGUGGGGACCUUCCACGGUCUCUGUGCCGCAGCUAACGCAUUAAGCGCCCCGCCUGGGGAGUACGGCCGCAAGGCUAAA
rnacentral:rRNA from 1 species